rnacentral:rRNA from 1 species
AUUGAACGCUGGCGGCAUGCUUUACACAUGCAAGUCGAACGGUAACAGGGUGCUUGCACCGCUGACGAGUGGCGAACGGGUGAGUAAUGCGUCGGAACGUGCCGAGUAGUGGGGGAUAACGCAGCGAAAGUUGUGCUAAUACCGCAUACGUACUGAGGUAGAAAGUGGGGGACCUUCGGGCCUCACGCUAUUCGAGCGGCCGACGUCCGAUUAGCUAGUAGGUGAGGUAAAGGCUCACCUAGGCGACGAUUAGUAGCGGGUCUGAGAGGAUGAUCCGCCACACUGGGACUGAGACACGGCCCAGACUCCUACGGGAGGCAGCAGUGGGGAAUUUUGGACAAUGGGCGAAAGCCUGAUCCAGCCAUGCCGCGUGUCUGAAGAAGGCCUUCGGGUUGUAAAGGACUUUUGUCAGGGAGGAAAUCCCUAGUGCUAAUAACACUGGGGGAUGACAGUACCUGAAGAAUAAGCACCGGCUAACUACGUGCCAGCCGCCGCAGUAA